AACCUUUCGGGGUUAGUGGCGGACGGGUGAGUAACGCGUAGGAACCUAUCUGGAGGUGGGGGAUAACAUCGGGAAACUGGUGCUAAUACCGCAUGAUGCCUGAGGGCCAAAGGAGAGAUCCGCCAUUGGAGGGGCCUGCGUUCGAUUAGCUAGUUGGUUGGGUAAAGGCUGACCAAGGCGAUGAUCGAUAGCUGGUUUGAGAGGAUGAUCAGCCACACUGGGACUGAGACACGGCCCAGACUCCUACGGGAGGCAGCAGUGGGGAAUAUUGGACAAUGGGGGCAACCCUGAUCCAGCAAUGCCGCGUGUGUGAAGAAGGUCUUCGGAUUGUAAAGCACUUUCACUAGGGAAGAUGAUGACGGUACCUAGAGAAGAAGCCCCGGCUAACUUCGUGCCAGCAGCCGCGGUAAUACGAAGGGGGCUAGCGUUGCUCGGAAUGACUGGGCGUAAAGGGCGCGUAGGCUGUCUGUACAGUCAGAUGUGAAAUCCCCGGGCUUAACCUGGGAACUGCAUUUGAUACGUGCAGACUAGAGUCCGAGAGAGGGUUGUGGAAUUCCCAGUGUAGAGGUGAAAUUCGUAGAUAUUGGGAAGAACACCGGUUGCGAAGGCGGCAACCUGGCUCGGAACUGACGCUGAGGCGCGAAAGCGUGGGGAGCGAACAGGAUUAGAUACCCUGGUAGUCCACGCUGUAAACGAUGUGUGCUGGAUGUUGGGUGAUUUUAUCAUUCAGUGUCGGAGCUAACGCG
rnacentral:rRNA from 1 species